ensembl:processed_transcript
UGUUUUCUGACCUAAAUCAAGUGGGUCGCCAGGACGGGCUUCAAUGGAUAGAGAGAAGAGCUGUUGGCUUAGGGAAAGGUCCAGAAGAGGGACUUGCACACGGGACGGUGUAGGCAAUGCACGGGUCUUAGUUUUCUGCAGGGCUUCCUCCGACCCGGUUUGCUCUUUUUGAGCUAUGUCUUCUCAUCGUGGAAUGGCCGAGGUUGGCGUGUCCCUUACCCCCUAAACUCCCUACAUUUUGUGCAGGGGCACUUAGAGAGAUCAUAUGGCAGCGGUGGCUUCCCUCAAGGCCCAAGGAUCGCAAAGUGUCCUUAAUUUGCUCUUCUAACAGAGUCGUGUUUGUUGACGAAGUGACCGGCUUGCUGACAAAGAGGGGGCACAAAUGGAGGCACAGAAUUAGGCCCUUUUUUGGCAUUUGGAGGAAGCUGGGGGAUUUGGUGCUUUGGAUCAGCGACAUGGAAGGAGCAGAGUGUGCAGUGAGGGGUAAUGUCAGAUCUCUACUCAUCUGACUGAAGUCCCUCUGGAGGGACUCUCUGGACUCUUCAGAAUAAGUGUCCCUCCCUUUAGAGUUCUGUCAACAUUUGUUGCCCAGCCACUGCUCUGAUGGCUUGCACUUUUGCUCUUCCAAUGUAUCCUCUAAAACGGAAGCCCA